CUAGCAGUGUGCUCUCUCUUGCUAGGAUGCUGCAUGUCCGUUUACCUUUAAGCAUGGCGGUUAGCCAUUAUCUAAGUUUGUGAAGUUAAGAGUGAGUCCAAGUGAGUCUUUUCUAGCUCGUCUCUAUUGUGAAGGUUUACUGUAGCCACAAGCCGUGUACAAGUUUUGUGCUCUGAUAACUGACUGUUCGGCUAUCGGUUAGCAUCAUGCUAAUGUGGAGCUAGUGACUCUCCACGGACUUUAAUUCUGGCAGGGGGGCCUAGACGGCGCGCUUUGCACUGAACUGACUCUUGUGCAGAGCUUUUCCGUGAGAGAGACCUGCCGUUUCCCUCUUGCCUUGUCCUUGGAUUUAAUGUCUUCAUGGCCGAGACCGAGGUCUGGACUUCCUCUUCCCAUCUUCAUGCCGGGCCUGAGUUUGUCAAUAACGAGAAAAAAAAAACAGUUCCUGUUGGCCCGCUGCAGAGACGAGGUGUGUGGAUUUACCUGCAGGGUGGCGGAGACAAUGGGACGGAGCUGGCUUCACCCUGGCUGUGACGAAGUUUUAGUUAUCGUUUCUCCGUCAUCCGUGUGAACCAUUGGAUCCUACUUGAUCCAAGCGGCAACCUCCAGUCCUGAAAACUGAAGCCAA